AACGAACGCUGGCGGCAGGCCUAACACAUGCAAGUCGAGCGGACCUUUCGGGGUCAGCGGCGGACGGGUGAGUAACGCGUGGGAAUAUGCCCUUCUCUACGGAAUAGUCCUGGGAAACUGGGGGUAAUACCGUAUACGCCCUUUGGGGGAAAGAUUUAUCGGGGAAGGAUUAGCCCGCGUUGGAUUAGGUAGUUGGUGGGGUAAUGGCCUAUCAAGCCGACGAUCCAUAGCUGGUUUGAGAGGAUGAUCAGCCACACUGGGACUGAGACACGGCCCAGACUCCUACGGGAGGCAGCAGUGGGGAAUCUUAGACAAUGGGGGCAACCCUGAUCUAGCCAUGCCGCGUGAGUGAUGAAGGCCUUAGGGUUGUAAAGCUCUUUCAGCUGGGAAGAUAAUGACGGUACCAGCAGAAGAAGCCCCGGCUAACUCCGUG
rnacentral:rRNA from 1 species